AGCGAACGCUGGCGGCAGGCCUAACACAUGCAAGUCGAACGGACCCUUCGGGGUUAGUGGCGGACGGGUGAGUAACACGUGGGAACGUGCCUUUAGGUUCGGAAUAGCUCCUGGAAACGGGUGGUAAUGCCGAAUGUGCCCUUCGGGGGAAAGAUUUAUCGCCUUUAGAGCGGCCCGCGUCUGAUUAGCUAGUUGGUGAGGUAAUGGCUCACCAAGGCGACGAUCAGUAGCUGGUCUGGGAGGAUGACCAGCCACAUUGGGACUGAGACACGGCCCAAACUCCUACGGGAGGCAGCAGUGGGGAAUCUUGCGCAAUGGGCGAAAGCCUGACGCAGCCAUGCCGCGUGAAUGAUGAAGGUCUUAGGAUUGUAAAAUUCUUUCACCGGGGACGAUAAUGACGGUACCCGGAGGAGAAGCCCCGGCUAACUUCGUGCCAGCCGCCGCAGUAACAC
rnacentral:rRNA from 1 species